GAUGAACGCUGGCGGCGUGCUUAACACAUGCAAGUCGAACGGUGAAAGGAAGCUUGCUUCCUGGAUCAGUGGCGAACGGGUGAGUAACACGUGAGCAACCUGCCCCGGACUCUGGGAUAACAGUUGGAAACAGCUGCUAAUACCGGAUAUGAGACGUGAUCGCAUGAUCGACGUUUGGAAAGAUUUUUCGGUCUGGGAUGGGCUCGCGGCCUAUCAGCUUGUUGGUGAGGUAAUGGCUCACCAAGGCGUCGACGGGUAGCCGGCCUGAGAGGGUGACCGGCCACACUGGGACUGAGACACGGCCCAGACUCCUACGGGAGGCAGCAGUGGGGAAUAUUGCACAAUGGGCGGAAGCCUGAUGCAGCAACGCCGCGUGAGGGACGACGGCCUUCGGGUUGUAAACCUCUUUUAGCAGGGAAGAAGCGAAAGUGACGGUACCUGCAGAAAAAGCACCGGCUAACUACGUGCCAGCAGCCGCAGUAACAC
rnacentral:rRNA from 1 species